rnacentral:rRNA from 1 species
AUUGAACGCUGGCGGAAUGCUUUACACAUGCAAGUCGAACGGCAGCACGGACUUCGGUCUGGUGGCGAGUGGCGAACGGGUGAGUAAUACAUCGGAACGUGCCCAAUCGUGGGGGAUAACGUAGCGAAAGCUACGCUAAUACCGCAUACGAUCUAAGGAUGAAAGCGGGGGAUCGCAAGACCUCGCGCGAUUGGAGCGGCCGAUGGCAGAUUAGGUAGUUGGUGGGGUAAAGGCUCACCAAGCCGACGAUCUGCAGCUGGUCUGAGAGGACGACCAGCCACACUGGGACUGAGACACGGCCCAGACUCCUACGGGAGGCAGCAAUGGGGAAUUUUGGACAAUGGGCGAAAGCCUGAUCCAGCCAUUCCGCGUGCGGGAUGAAGGCCCUCGGGUUGUAAACUGCUUUUGUACGGAACGAAAAGGCUCUGGUUAAUACCUGGGGCUCAUGACGGUACCGUAAGAAUAAGCACCGGCUAACUACGUGCCAGCCGCCACCGUAAUAC